rnacentral:rRNA from 1 species
UACGUAGGUGGCAAGCGUUGUCCGGAAUUACUGGGUGUAAAGCGCGUGUAGGCGGUAGGCCAAGUCGGUGGUGAAAUCGCCCGGCUCAACUGGGCGGGGUCCAUGGAAACUGGUCAACUGGAGGACGGUAGAGGCGAGUGGAAUUCCCGGUGUAGUGGUGAAAUGCGUAGAUAUCGUGAGGAACACCAGAGGCGAAGGCGGCUUCCUGGACAAUUGCUGACGCUCAGGCACGAAAGCGUGGGGAGCAAAAGGG